rnacentral:rRNA from 1 species
UACGGGGGGAGCAAGCGUUGUUCGGAUUUACUGGGCGUAAAGGGCGCGUAGGCGGUCGUGACAAGUAACUUGUGAAAUCUCCGGGCUUAACUCGGAACGGUCAAGUGAUACUGUCGGACUAGAGUACAGAAGGGGCAACUGGAAUUCUCGGUGUAGCGGUGAAAUGCGUAGAUAUCGAGAGGAACACCUGCGGCGAAGGCGGGUUGCUGGGCUGAUACUGACGCUGAGGCGCGAAAGCCAGGGGAGCGAACGGG